rnacentral:rRNA from 1 species
GGUGGAUUAGUGGCGAACGGGUGAGUAACACGUGGGCAAUCUGCCCUGCACUCUGGGACAAGCCCUGGAAACGGGGUCUAAUACCGGAUAUGACCACCGGCCGCAUGGUCUGGUGGUGGAAAGCUCCGGCGGUGCAGGAUGAGCCCGCGGCCUAUCAGCUUGUUGGUGGGGUGAUGGCCUACCAAGGCGACGACGGGUAGCCGGCCUGAGAGGGCGACCGGCCACACUGGGACUGAGACACGGCCCAGACUCCUACGGGAGGCAGCAGUGGGGAAUAUUGCACAAUGGGCGCAAGCCUGAUGCAGCGACGCCGCGUGAGGGAUGACGGCCUUCGGGUUGUAAACCUCUUUCAGCAGGGAAGAAGCGCAAGUGACGGUACCUGCAGAAGAAGCACCGGCUAACUACGUGCCAGCAGCCGCGGUAAUACGUAGGGUGCGAGCGUUGUCCGGAAUUAUUGGGCGUAAAGAGCUCGUAGGCGGCCUGUCGCGUCGGAUGUGAAAGCCCGGGGCUUAACCCCGGGUCUGCAUUCGAUACGGGCAGGCUAGAGUUCGGUAGGGGAGAUCGGAAUUCCUGGUGUAGCGGUGAAAUGCGCAGAUAUCAGGAGGAACACCGGUGGCGAAGGCGGAUCUCUGGGCCGAUACUGACGCUGAGGAGCGAAAGCGUG